UAAGCAGUACAAAUUGCCAUUCAUGAAAGUCUGCAUUCAUUUGGUUGGAUUCUUGUGGCUUCUUUUUGCUUAUGCAUACAUGCUGUUAUUUGACUACAAAGUAAAUGGAAUUUCACGCACAGACUAUUUUAUAAUCACUUGGAUGGUGAGCUUUUUCGUGGACGAAACCAAACAGCAUAUUGUAUCAAUUGUACGAAACAAAUGGAAAAGUUACAUUAGUGACUGGUGGAAUCGGUUAGACUGGUGUUCAAUAUUGGUAUAUACCGUUGGAAUGUGUCUAAAGUUUGGCGAAAAACGAAUUUAUCAAGAUGCAUCGAAAGUCUUAUUAGUAGUUGCUUUUAUACUUCUGUGCAUACGGAUCUUAAAUCUGUUUUGUAUGUCAGAGAUUCUUGGUCCCAAGUUAGUCAUGAUUCGCAAAAUGGUAUGUACAAAUUUAUUAACAGUUCACUAGUAUUUGUUUUGUUUUUUUUCCUCUCAGUAC